GAAGAGGAGUGCCGACAUCAAUGGACCCAUACAUGGAGGACUCCUUGAAGACCAGACGAUAUUCAGAAUUCAAUACUGAGUACGCGAUAUCAUCUCAAUCUAACAUGUUGCCCGGAGUUAAUAAGGAUGAUAUUGCCAGUUCAUAUGGUAUAGAGGGCCAAAUCCAUUCACAUGGUGGUAGACUGGACAGUGGAAAGGCUAUU
rnacentral:misc_RNA from 1 species